GACGAACGCUGGCGGCGUGCUUAACACAUGCAAGUCGAACGGAAAGGCCCUGCUUUUGUGGGGUGCUCGAGUGGCGAACGGGUGAGUAACACGUGAGUAACCUGCCCUUGACUUUGGGAUAACUUCAGGAAACUGGGGCUAAUACCGGAUAGGAGCUCCUGCUGCAUGGUGGGGGUUGGAAAGUUUCGGCGGUUGGGGAUGGACUCGCGGCUUAUCAGCUUGUUGGUGGGGUAGUGGCUUACCAAGGCUUUGACGGGUAGCCGGCCUGAGAGGGUGACCGGCCACAUUGGGACUGAGAUACGGCCCAGACUCCUACGGGAGGCAGCAGUGGGGAAUAUUGCACAAUGGGCGGAAGCCUGAUGCAGCAACGCCGCGUGCGGGAUGACGGCCUUCGGGUUGUAAACCGCUUUCGCCUGUGACGAAGCGUGAGUGACGGUAAUGGGUAAAGAAGCACCGGCUAACUACGUGCCAGCAGCCGCGGUGAUACGUAGGGUGCGAGCGUUGUCCGGAUUUAUUGGGCGUAAAGGGCUCGUAGGUGGUUGAUCGCGUCGGAAGUGUAGUCUUGGGGCUUAACCCUGAGCGUGCUUUCGAUACGGGUUGACUUGAGGAAGGUAGGGGAGAAUGGAAUUCCUGGUGGAGCGGUGGAAUGCGCAGAUAUCAGGAGGAACACCAGUGGCGAAGGCGGUUCUCUGGGCCUUUCUUGACGCUGAGGAGCGAAAGCGUGGGGAGCGAACAGGCUUAGAUACCCUGGUAGUCCACGCUGUAAACGGUGGGUACUAGGUGUGGGGUCCAUUCCACGGGUUCCGUGCCGUAGCUAACGCUUUAAGUACCCCGCCUGGGGAGUACGGCCGCAAGGCUAAAACUCAAAGGAAUUGACGGGGCCCCGCACAAGCGGCGGAGCAUGCGGAUUAAUUCGAUGCAACGCGUAGAACCUUACCUGGGUUUGACAUGGAUCGGGAGUGCUCAGAGAUGGGUGUGCCUCUUUUGGGGUCGGUUCACAGGUGGUGCAUGGCUGUCGUCAGCUCGUGUCGUGAGAUGUUGGGUUAAGUCCCGCAACGAGCGCAACCCUUGUUCACUGUUGCCAGCACGUUAUGGUGGGGACUCAGUGGAGACCGCCGGGGUCAACUCGGAGGAAGGUGGGGAUGACGUCAAGUCAUCAUGCCCCUUAUGUCCAGGGCUUCACGCAUGCUACAAUGGCUGGUACAGAGAGUGGCGAGCCUGUGAGGGUGAGCGAAUCUCGGAAAGCCGGUCUCAGUUCGGAUUGGGGUCUGCAACUCGACCUCAUGAAGUCGGAGUCGCUAGUAAUCGCAGCUCAGCAACGCUGCGGUGAAUACGUUCCCGGGGCU
rnacentral:rRNA from 1 species